CAGCGGCAGACGGGUGUAGUAACGCGUGGGAACGUACCAUUUGCUACAGAAUAACUCAGGGAAACUUGUGCUAAUACCGUAUGAGCCCCCCUUUAAAAUUUCAGGAAUCAUAAAAUGCCCUGGCAUUUUAUGGGGGGGAAAGAUUUAUCGGCAAAUGAUCGGCCCCCGUUGGAUUAUCUAGUUGGUGGGGUAAAGGCCUACCAAGGCGACGAUCCAUAGCUGGUCUGAGAGGAUGAUCAGCCACGCUGGGACUGAGACACUGCCCACACUCCUACGGGAGGCAUCAGUGGGGAAUAUUGGACAAUGGGCGCAAGCCUGAUCCAGCCAUGCCGCGUGAGUGAUGAACGCCCUAGGGUUGUAAAGCUCUUUCACCGGUGAAGAUAAUGACCGUAACCGGAAAAGAAGCCCCGGCUAACUUCAUGCCAGCAGCCGCGGUAAUACGAAGGGGGCUAGCGUUGUUCGGAUUUACUGGGCGUAAAGCACACGUAGGCGGGCUAAUAAGUCAGGGGUGA
rnacentral:rRNA from 1 species